rnacentral:rRNA from 1 species
AUUGAACGCUGGCGGCAGGCCUAACACAUGCAAGUCGAGCGAGCGGCGGACGGGUGAGUAAUGUCUGGGAAACUGCCUGAUGGAGGGGGAUACCUCCUGGAAACGGUAGCUAAUACCGCAUACCAUCAAAGGUGCCAGGAUGGGAUUAGCUAGGAGGUGGGGUAACGGCUCACCUAGGCGACGAUCCCUAGCUGGUCUGGGAGGAUGACCAGCCACACUGGAACUGAGACACGGUCCAGACUCCUACGGGAGGCAGCAGUGGGGAAUAUUGCACAAUGGGCGCAAGCCUGAUGCAGCCAUGCCGCGUGUAUGAAGAAGGCCUUCGGGUUGUAAAGUACUUUCAGCGGGGAGGCGUUACCCGCAGAAGAAGCACCGGCUAACUCCGUGCCAGCAGCCGCGGUAAUUC